CAGCCGCCGCGGUAAUACAGAGGGUGCAAGCGUUAAUCGGAAUUACUGGGCGUAAAGCGCGCGUAGGUGGUUUGUUAAGUUGGAUGUGAAAUCCCCGGGCUCAACCUGGGAACUGCAUUCAAAACUGACUGACUAGAGUAUGGUAGAGGGUGGUGGAAUUUCCUGUGUAGCGGUGAAAUGCGUAGAUAUAGGAAGGAACACCAGUGGCGAAGGCGACCACCUGGGCUAAUACUGACACUGAGGAGCGAAAGCGUGGGGAGCAAACAGGAUUAGAUACCCGUGUAGUCCCUGUCUCUUAUAC
rnacentral:rRNA from 1 species